ACACGUAAGGGGCAAGCGUUGUUCGGAUUUAUUGGACGUAAAGGGCGUGUAGGCGGUAGUGCAAGUCUGGUGUGAAAUAUCCCGGCUCAACCGGGGAGACGCGCUGGAAACUGUGCUGCUUGAGUUUAGGAGGGGGAGCUGGAAUUCCUGGUGUAGGGGUGAAAUCUGUAGAGAUCAGGAAGAACACCGGAGGCGAAGGCGAGCUCCUGGCCAUAGACUGACGCUGAGGCGCGAAAGCGUGGGGAGCGAACAGGAUUAGAUACCCUGGUAGUCCACGCUGUAAACGAUGUGCACUAGGUGUCAGGACUGAUGAAAGUCUCGGUGCCGUAGCUAACGCGGUAAGUGCACCGCCUGGGGAGUAUGCUCGCAAGGGUGAA
rnacentral:rRNA from 1 species